GGAAUCUUGCGCAAUGGGCGAAAGCCUGACGCAGCAACGCCGCGUGGGGGAUGAAGGCCUUCGGGUUGUAAACCCCUUUCAGGAGGGAAGAAAUUGACGGUACCUCCAAAAGAAGCACCGGCCAACUACGUGCCAGCAGCCGCGGUAAUACGUAGGGUGCGAGCGUUAUCCGGAAUCAUUGGGCGUAAAGAGCUCGUAGGCGGUUCAGCAAGUCGGCUGUGAAAGUCUGAGGCUCAACCUCAGAAUUGCAGUCGAUACUGCUGUGACUCGAGUCCGGUAGAGGAGAACGGAAUUCCCGGUGUAGCGGUGAAAUGCGCAGAUAUCGGGAGGAACACCAGUGGCGAAGGCGGCCUUCUGGACGGUGACUGACGCUGAGAUGCGAAAGCGUGGGGAGCAAA
rnacentral:rRNA from 1 species